GGUAGCUCAGUUGUAGAGUGCUUGCCUUGCAUGCAUGAGGCCCUGGGUUCAAUUCCCCAGUACCA
rnacentral:tRNA from 1 species